rnacentral:rRNA from 1 species
CCUACGGGAGGCAGCAGUGGGGAAUAUUGCACAAUGGGGGAAACUCUGAUGCAGCGACGCCGCGUGAGUGAAGACGUAUUUCGGUAUGUAAAGCUCUAUCAGCAGGGAAGAAGAAAGACGGUACCUGACUCAGAAGCCCCGGCUAACUACGUGCCAGCAGCCGCGGUAAUACGUAGGGGGCAAGCGUUAUCCGGAUUUACUGGGUGUUAAGGGAGCGUAGACGGCUGUGCAAGUCUGAAGUGAAAGCCCAGGGCUCAACCCUGGGACUGCUUUGGAAACUGUGGAGCUAGAGUGCUGGAGAGGUAAGUGGAAGUCCUAGUGUAGCGGUGAAAUGCGUAGAUAUUAGGAGGAACACCAGUGGCGAAGGCGGCUUACUGGACAGUAACUGACGUUGAGGCUCGAAAGCGUGGGGAGCAAACAGGAUUAGAUACCCCAGUAGUC